rnacentral:tRNA from 1 species
CUUGUCUUAGUUUAAGGUAGAAUGAGGGUUUUGGGGAUCUUUGGUCUCAUAGGAGAGACUUGA